CCAUUUUUGUAUAAAACAAAAUGGCCGGAGCCGAGCGGCAGAAAGAAAAGAUGUAAAACAUGAGUAUGUACAUCAAUGGUGGAACGAUGGUAGAAGGCACAGCGGGUCCGUCCGGUGUGACAGGUAGUCACGACUAUAAUGGACCUUUGGAAAAGACCAGAUCUGAGCUCAACUUCCUUCCAGUUAUUUUUUAUCUUUUUUUGAGACACAGUCUCACUCUGUCGCCCAGGCUGGAAUGCAGUGGCGCAAUCUCGGCUCACAGCAACCUGUGCCUCCCGGGAUCAAGUGAUUCUCGUGCCUCAGCCUCUGGAGUAGCUGGGACUACAGGCACACGCCACCACGCCUGGCUAAUUUUUAUAUUUUUAGUAGAGACAGGAUUUCCAUAUGUUGGCCAAGCUGGUCUCAAACUCGGUCUCAAGCCAUCUGCCUGCCUCGGCCUCCCAAAGUGCUUGGAUUACAGGCAUAAACCACUGCACCCUGCCAACUUCAUUCCAGUUCUAAUACCUGAUCCACUUUACAGAUGAAGAAACUGAGGAAUUAAAAGGUAAAACAGGCUGCCCAAGUCCUGAGAUGAAGCUGGAAAUCAAGUCCAGUUUGUCGUGACUCUAGAACAUGCACCCUUAACCCCUCCACCGUAGAAACUCAGGAACUAGAGAGUUCUGAAUGGAACUUUACACCAAUAAAAGCCAUUCUGUCCAAGAGGUUACAUGCAAAUGGCAAAAUAUAAUUUGGCUGCCUGUUUGCAAGUGGCAAACAUCAUUCCUAUUAUGUAACAGAACUGGGAAGAGGAUUUUGUUGCCUGGAAAGAGUGAGUAAAGAUUUUUUUUUUAAUCUGCCAGAUUUUUUUAUUGUCAAUAUUUUAAGUGUUUGAGCUAUUAAAUAGAUAACCAUAUGCUGCUUUUCUUUUAGCCAAUUAAUGUGGUGAACUAGAUGGAUACAUUUUUUGAUAUUGAACUAUCUUUGCAUUAUUGGGAUAAAACCCAACCAAUGGUGGAUUUUUUUUUUUUUAGUUUUUAAAAAAAUUUACUUGGGUUUUUCUUCUUCUUCUUCUAAGAGAUGGGGUUUUACUACGUUGCCCAGGCUGGCCUUGAACUCCUAGGCUCAAGUGAGUGAUCCUUCUACCCAGCCUCCCAAAGUGCUGGGCUUAUAGGCAUGAGCCACUGUGCUCGGCUAAUGUAUUAUUAUUAUUAUUAUUAUUAUUUGAGGUAGAGACUCGCUGUGUUACCCAGGCUGGAGUGCAGUGGUGCAGUCUUGACUCACUGCAACCUCCGCCUCCCAGGUUCAAGCGAUUCUCCCACCUCAGCCUCCCGAGUAGCUGGAAUUACAGGCGCGUGCCACAAUGCCCAGCUAGUUUUUGUAUUUUUAGUAGAGACGGGGUUUCACCAUGUUGGUCAGGCUGGUCUCGAACUCCUGACCUCACGUGAUCUGCCCUCCUUGGCCUCCCAAAGUGAUGUAUUAUUUUUUAAACACUGGAUUUGCUUGGCUAGGAUUUUGCCUCUAUGAUCAUAAAUAAGGUAAAAUGAGCCCUUAAUUUUAUCUUAUUGAAUUCUUGGCCACAGAUUUGGGAAUCAGGAUUCUUCAGCCUAAAGAGGUUGACAGCUUUCACACUUUUUCUGUUUGCUGGAAUGACUUGUAUAAGACAAGAAGUAACUGUUUCUUUUUUUCUUUUUGAGACAGGGUCUCACUCUGACACCCAGGCUGAAGUGCAAGUGGUGCAGUCACAGCUCACUGUAGUCUCCAUUUCCCAGGCUUAAGCCAUCCUCCCACCUCAGCCUCCCAAGUGGCUGGGACUACAGACACAAACCACCACACCCAGCUAAUUUUUUUAUUUUUGCUAGAAAUGGGGUCUCACUCUGUUGCCCAGGCAGGUCUCAAACUCCUAGGCUCAGAUGAUCCUCCUGCCUCAACCUCCCAAAAUGCUGGGAUUGCAGGCACAGGCCACUGCACCUGGCCAAGAAGUAACUAAGUGUGGUAGGAAUCACCUGUAAAACCGUCGGGGCCUUGGGAUUAUUGGGGAGAUCUUUGAGUACCAUUUAAAUGUCAUUCAUUUACAGACCCGGGCAGUGGCUCAUGCCUAUAAUCCCAGCACUAUGGGAGGCUGAGGCAGGCAGAUCAACUGAGGCCAGGAGUUCAAGACAGCCUGGCUAAUAUGGGGAAACCCCGCCUCUACUAAAAAUAUAAAAAUUAGCUGGUGCAUGCCUGUGGUCCUAGCUAAUCGGCAGGCUGAGGCACAAGAAUUGCUUGAACCUGGGAUGUGGCGAUUGCAGUGAGCUAAGAUCACAGCACUGCACUCCAGCCUGGACGACAGACUAAGACCCUGUCACAAAAUAAAAUAUAAUAAAAUAAAUAAAAUAAAAUAAUAAACAAAUAAGUGAAGUUCAUUUACUAUUUUAUCAUGUUCCUUGCCUGUCCUUCCCUACCCCACCACCUUACCUCUGGUCAACCUCCUUCUGAAGUUCACGACUGCGUUCUUCCAACUGCUGUUGAAGCCGUUUUCGCUGCUGCUCUGGGGGCAAGUGGCUAAAAUCCUCGGUCACCACUGUCUGCAAGGUGGGUAGAGGGCUGAAUUUGGGAUCAAGGAGUCUAGCCUGCCAGACUCUGCACCCGUCUGAGAUAUUUCACUCCCUUCCCCAGCCAUGGUUCUUGACAGCGAAGCCAUGCACAGAGCAAAGCAGGUCUGGGUUGGGCAACCAGGGAAGAGGGGCCCAGCCAGCGGCAGGAAGCGAGCCCAGGGUCCCGCCACCCGCCGCUGGGCAGGCUAGGGCCACCACCUCCUCCUGCCCCGAGGCCUCACUUACCCCACGGCUGCCUCGAAGGCUGCGGAAGGAUGCUAGCCUCGGUUUGACCGACUUACUGAUCUCGCUCAGUAUGGCCAAGGGGUCACGGCCGGAGCGGGGGGACGGGGGUCCGUUAGGCAAUGCCGAGGGUACGGGGCCCCCCAGGGGGGAGAGGGGUGGGGGGCGAGGCUACCGGCGGGGGCCGGGGAGGGGGAUAGGUUGAAGGGGUGGGGGGGCAUAGGAGGAUGUAGAGAGUGAGGACGAAUGGACGGAGGGAUGGACGCACGGAUGGACGGAUGGACGCAAAAAAAGGAAAAAGGAAAAACAAAAUGGAGAAAGAAAAAAAACGGUAAGAAAACCACAACUCAAGAUGCACAACCACACAGAGAAAACGCAUGCAGGAGCGACACAAAAAAAUCUGGAAGGUGGCGGGGAGGAUGUUGAACUGUAAGCCCGAAAGCCAGAACUCUCACUCCCCCGGUAUCUCCUAGGUCUCUGGAAUGUUAUGUCCGGGAGCAAGCAUGGGUCCAGGAGGCAGGGAGGCCCAUGUCUCUCUGUCCACUUAGCUUUCUGGGCUGACAGUCUAGAAGACGCAUGCAGGAAUCAAGGUCUCAGACAGGUAAGAGGCCACAGAGGACAAAAAUAAAUAAACAAAAAUAAAACCACAAGCCGAGAGGGAGUGGAAGGCAGGAAAAUGAGAGGGGUUAGGGGCAUCAGAAGUUUAAGCUCGGGGAUCACAGGUGUUAAGUCAAGGAGAGGUAUGAGAGUGUAAGUGAAGAGGGACCCAAAGUAUAAAUCAAAGGUAUAAACCAAGGGUGCUAAGGUAUAUUAAAAUCCAAAAACCCAAGAAAGCAAGACAUGCAGGGCGGCUCCCAGAGUCCCAUCAGCAGGAUGGAGAGAGAAACUCGGGGAGUCCCCAGGGAUGGUGUCACCAGCCCUCAGGCCAGCCCUGAAUUCCACCAGCAGGUUUUCUCCCAGCAUCCCGAGAAGCAGCAGACAAACGCCACGGACCUCCCCACCUCCCCACCCUGCCCCCGCCUUCGCCUCGGGGGACUCCCAGGCCAAUCGGCCGCCUUCCUUCCCUCCAGUCCGGGCUGGCAGCCAAGAGGAAAAUUCCUGCCCGAGACUCGGCGUUCAGGCGGCUGGGGCUGACUCAAUAGGGGCCCCACUGUCCCCACUUCACUGUCCUUCUCCCCCACCAUCCCAAGGGUCCCGGCCCCCACCUUGUUCUUCUUGCCAAAAGGCCAGCGCUUGGUGCGGCUGCGACCCGGGCCUCGGAGUUCAGGCCGUCCAUCCGAGGGGGUGCCCAGACUGCUGUCGGAGGGUGCACGGUUCAUGGGCUGGCUGAAGUCCUCGAAUUCCACGUCGCCCGGGCGGGCAAAACCUGACUUGUGCAGCUCUAUAAGGACGUGGGAGUCCUGGGGGAGGGGGACAGUGGAUGAGCAGUCGAGUGCCUAGCCUAUGGGUACCUCCCUCUGCCCUUCCCGUAGCCCAGUGGACCCAGACCAGGCACCCACGUUCUUGGGAUCCACAGCAUUUGCAGCCACCUUCAUGCCCUCCAAGCACUUGGCUAUUAUGGGCACCACCUCCAGCUCGGCCUCCGACAGGAGCCCAUACCCGGCACCCAGGCGGGUGGCCCUGCGUUCAUCCAUGUCUUGGAGCUUCUGUAAGGACAGGGACAAGGGUGGCUCAGGGGUGCUAACAGAGGGACUAGAAGCACAGUGAUUCACUCUGCAAAUAUGAUCGCGCUCCACGCUGGCCCCAGCCCCAAGCCAGUCUGGAGGGGAAGACAGAGUCGGGAAGAGAGACUCCAGCCCACUGUGGUUGGGGAAGAGACACAGGGCCAGGGGGAUCUCAGAGGGGGACGCGUGCCUAGGGGGUCAGCAAAGGCUUCUCAAAGGAGGAGACAAGGGAACAGGGAUUUGAAGAAAAAGCAGAACCAGCCCUGAUACUCCCAGGGCCACGGAUGGGACAGAGAGUGGAGCGCUAGAUUGAAACAGGAGAGGGGAAAUUCGAGACCUUUCAGAGGGGUUGUUAGAGGUGGAGCUUAGAAGAAUAAGUAGGAAUUUCAAAAAGAAAGAAAGGUCACUUGAGCACAGGGGUUCCAGGCUGCAGUGAGCUGUGAUUAUGCCACUGCACUCCUGCCCGGGUGACAGAGCCAGGCCCCAUCUCUCUAUAGAAGUAAAUAAACAAACAAGUAAAAGGCAUGCCCAGCAGGAAGAACAGCUGACUAAAAGCACAGCUCACUGUUACUAUAGGUUUCUGAUUCCCUUUCAAUCUAGGGACUGGGACAUUGCAGCUGGGGUUUUGAUGAAUGCGUAGGAGUUGGCUAACAUUUGGAGGCUUUCGGGAAGGUAGGUCUGAGAACUGGGAGCACUCACAUCGAAUAUCUGGGGCAUCUGUGAAAAAUAGAAGUGGGCUUGGUCUCGGUUGA
rnacentral:lncRNA from 1 species